rnacentral:rRNA from 1 species
UACGUAGGGGGCUAGCGUUGUCCGGAUUUAUUGGGCGUAAGGAGCGUGUAGGCGGCCAAGUAGGUCCGGUGUGAAAACUCGAGGCUUAACCUCGAGAUGUCAUCGGAAACCAUUUGGCUAGAGUCCGGAAGAGGGGGGUGGAAUUCCAGGUGUAGCAGUGAAAUGCGUAGAGAUGUGGAGGAACACCGAUGGCGAAGGCAGCCUUCUGGGCCAAUACUGACGCUCAUGCACGAAAGCGUGGGGAGCAAACAGG